UGCAGAGGAGCGGGGCAGCGGGCGGGCGGCCCCGGCAGCCUUGCACAGCCAGUUCCCGAGCCCGGCGUGUCUCUCACCACGACGUGCAGUUUCACCACCUGCUCACUCGGGCCCCUGGCUGCCACGUUGCCUGUCUGUCGGCGUGUUUGCUUGGCUUUCCAAAGUGUGCCUGUCCGGCUCCUCUGGCAUCCAACAUGCUGCUGCCUGCCUCGUGCGCGCUGCAGAUUCGGGUUCCUCCUUGGAAAGCAUCCACAUCGCCAGCUAUUUUUGGAACAGAGGCAUCUAUUGUCUUGCGCCGUUCCCUGCUGGGUUAAGCUCACAGCUGCCGGGGCCCCUUCCCCCAGCACCCUCUCCCUUCCUUCCCAUGGCACGGCUUCUGCGUGCCCCGCAGCUUCUCCAGAUAUAGCGCCGCGAGAGCACCACGAGGCAGGGCAGGGCCUUGCCACCAUUUUGUGGAUGCCCUGAGCCAGUGUCUGCCCCGGGAGCCAUCAGGGGGUCCCACAGAGGGGUGGAGCAUGGUGUCCAUCUCCAGCAGUGGGCUCCUUAAUCCUGCUGUGAGGUCCUGCCAAGCUGACCUGCAGUAUGGGAACAGCUCCUCCACCUCUCCAGGCUGAAGCCAGAGAUGGAGCAGUGUGGCAGGGGCUACAAACAGGCUGCGUGGGAGCUGCACUUCAGGCUGGGCCCCUGCAUUAGGCAACAGAGAGAGGAACUGAUGGACAGGCUGGGAGCUUGUGGCAGGGCAUGUGUCCUUGGGCUGUCCUUCUCCCUUGCCACAGCUUUCAGUUGGGCUGCGUUGUGUAGCUCUGGUGUCCUUAGCAAGAAGUUUGGGCUGCUGCUCCCCAGUCUCAGGACCUUUGGGAUACCUUUAACCAAAAGUUUCAUCUCUGAUUUCCUCAGUCGUGUUGGGUUCCCUUUGCUGCCCAUUUAUUUGUGCCUCUACCAGAAAGCUAGUUGACAAUUUUCAAGCGUCUUGCUCUGCAGAAGACUGAAGAGGGGGGGAAAAGCAAGAUGGGACAGAGCUAUUUUAAUCUAAGUCCAUCUGCGUUGAUAAUUCUCUAUCCAGCCCCGAUCAUUGCUGGAAUUCUUGAGCAGGACAGAGUUUGCUGAGUGACCUGGCUGUGCAAAUACCUUGCAUGCUUUGCAGGCGCUUCAAUCUCUGCAUGCCCAUGCAUCUCUGCUUGCAGCCUGGUGGGUCAGCACAUGCUUCAGCAGAGCCACCAGCAGAGCUGCAAAUGCAGGCACCCGCUCCCCAGCACGGGGAACAAACAGAGCCAGCAGCUCCUUCCCACCGCACGUUCCUCUCCCCACAGUCAGAUCCACGUCGCAGGAACAGCGAAUUCGGCACUGAUGGCCCCUCAGCAUGUUAGAAAAGUUUCGUGCAAUCUGUUUACUUUUGGACAUAUGCUGUGCUCGUGCAGCCUGGAGUCCUGCUGCCUCUAAUAACUUUAGGCGCAAUUUCCUCCCGUUUGGUGCCUGGGGCACUGAUCGACACCUGUGGAAACAGGCCUCCAAGGGGGUGCAAAAUGCCUUUGCUCCUCUGGGGUACCUCCUUUACUGCUGCUAUUAAAAAAUGGCACAUGUUGGCCCUGAGGUAUGGAUCUUCCAUGGGAAAUCACAGGGAGAUGGGAGGCGAUGGGACCACGCUGCACUUCACCACCUCAGGAAGCUUGAGGAAGGCUGAGAUAUCCGCAUCUGCAUGGAGCUGCAUGGAUGUAUAUAUGUGUGUAUGGAGCUGUAAUGAUAGCUGUGUGUCUCACAGAAAGCAGAUUGUGCUUCCAGGGAAGAGUUCUCUAAUCUUCGUCGCAGGGAUGCAAGGUCUUUGCUGCACCUGGGAGCUGCCUGGGCGGAUGUGCGAUGUGUAUUUAAUGCACAGCACCUCUCCUUGCAGAAAAAGAGCACAAAAUUGUAGUUUUAUUAUUAUUAUUAUUAUUUUCUCACUUUUUUAGUACUGCUCCAGAAUAAUGCCCUGAGGGGAAUUCACUGAGCCCUCAGCUCUGUGCUGCAGUGUCCUCCUGCAUGCGCCCAGCUCACCAAUGUGGCUAAAACAGAUUUUGCAUCAAAAGAGACAACUAAAAAAAUAAUAAUAGGGAAAGGGCGCUAUUUGAGGGUUGGAAAAACAGAUUUAUUUAUAUAUAUUUUUUUUCAGCAAGAGAGAAGUUAAUGGGACAGAGAUCUUCCAACAACCUUUCUGAUCUCAGAUGAGGAGCUUGGGCUGUGAUGUACCCUGUGAACCAGGAAAGCACCUCCAGAGCCACCUGCCCCCACCAACACCAUGUACCAUGGAUGACGGUCUCCACGACCCACCAGGUUUCAGGAAGAUGAGGGGUUUCCAGCCUCAGCUCAGGAGUGGCUUUUUGCAUGAUAUUCACCUGUGAUGAACUCAGCUCAGCUUCAUGGUACCUGCCAGGCAGGCUCGAGACCUCCAGAGGUCCUGCACAGCUGAACGUUUUCUGCUGUUGACCAGAAGAAAUCUGGUGCGGAGAGGUGCCUGGGACAGGCUGCAGGGCUGAUGGAUAUCAGCUGGGGAAAAGGCUGCCCAGCUCUUUGGCCUGCUGCUUUCACUCCACAGCCCCAUCCAGGAAUUUUCCGCAGCCUUUGUACAGAUAAUCACUCACGCCAUCCCCAAACCAGUUGAUGGCCUGUGAGUGAGGUUGUGCAACUCUUUUUUUUUUUUUUUUUUUUUUUUUUUAAAAAAAAAAGCUUUACCACAAAAUACAAGCUAUAUGGGAGGUAAACCUGCUUGUGCACGAGGAAAUUAAACUGGCAUGGCUGUUAUCAUGCCUCAUCCAGAAUAACUGCCCACGUGGUCAUGCUUAUUCUGGAGCAAGGGCUUAGCCCAAUGCACCUGAUGCGAUCUCUCUGGUGGGGAGUGUCCAGCAGGCAGGCGUGGGAUGUGCCCACGAGGAUGAGCUCGGAGGGGAUGUCCCCACUCUGUGGUCCUCUGUGAAAUCAUGCAGCUUUCUGCAGGACACAACAGGCGAUAAGAUCACGGGUGCUGUUCUUAGCAUGUGCAAGGCAAGCUUGCUACACCUCUGUGUCUGUCCAAGGGCGACCCUAUCUCUUCCCACCAGCUGAAGCUAUCAGUUCUGCUUUGAGUUAAUGCAUUUUUCUGCUGGGCUUUUUGAUAUCUGAACCUUUCCUGGUGCUCCAUGGAUGCAGUGAACAGAAGCACCCGUCCUCAGCCAUGGGGCCUUGGGCUCAUUGCUGGUUGCUGGACAUGAACUUGAAGGCUCUCUAGGCUACUUGGUAAGGGGGGAAAUGUAAAAAGGAGUGAAGCCUCAGAAUGACGUUGCUGGUUUCCCUGUAAAUACUCAGUAUCAUCACUCCCCCUAUCAUUUACCGUAAACCUGAACUGCUUUCGUACUUUAUUUUUAACCAAAAAGGUGGGCAAUUGCCACAAACAGCAUCCCUCCUGCCUGUGGGCACACAAGCCAGGGAGGAAAUAUUUUCUGGCUGGAUCUCCGGCCUGCAGCCAGCAACAUCUGGGCUCCUCCAGAGGCAGCUGGCGAGGCUGGCCAAGGAGGCCUCGGGCAGAUGUGCUGCUGAUUCAGGAGAUGUCCAACCACAGAUGUCCUAUGGGCAGGGCCUUGGCGAACGGUGGUGGGCCAGGCAUUGAGGUGACCUCGGCCUUCCUUCAUGCCCAGGGCCAGCACAGUGCCACCAGCUCUGUGCUGGGGCUUGCUGCUGCAGAGCCCGCUCUCUCACAGGGUUAAAUAACAGUGGAAGUGCUGAGAAAGCGUUUGUGGUGUUAUAUCAGCUAAAGAGCUGUUGAGACCAGCGAAGCGGUUAUUAGAUUUGUCCCUAACACUUAUUAAGUUUGUGCCUGCUGCUGAGAUGUUCGUGCUGCUCCUCUGUGUAUCCAUGGACAUGUCAGCUAUACCAAGGCAUUUCCAAUUAUCCCGUCACCUACCAGAUAAGAUUGUAAUCUCCUCUCGGAUGUCAAAAUAACCCAGAUAAAAAAAAACAGUUUGAGUUUCAAGAUGUUCCCCAGACAG